GAUGGGAGACGCCCCUGGAGGUGCGUUCUGGAGCCAGGGAGGUUGUGAGUGAGGCUGUGGCUUUGGAACCUCCCUACCUUGCUGCUACUGUCAUCUUUACUGUUAUUUCUGCCAUGUUAGUCUGGGCUGGUGGUUGCUGUCGUUCUCUACCGCAGACACAAAACCGGACAAUACCCUAAGGGUCCCCGAGGAUCAAUGCAGAGCCUAGCCUUCAGUGACACUUCCAUGGACCGACGCAGCACCACUUCCAAACUCUCAGACCAGUUCCAGCCACCACCACCACGCCGACCGACCGUCACAACUGUUGAAAAUGAAUAUCGUAAUGGUCGUCACUAAAUGGCAAUUAAUAAAGCUGUGAUGCAUAACCAACUAAAAGUUUUGUUCAUUAGUGAGGAAUAGUUUCAUCAUGUUCUUUUGCAGAGCGAGUUACUUGCAGUUGUAAUAUGCAUGAAAUAUAUUAGAACGUGACAAAAGUUCACAAGUGGAAACUAAAUUUCAAGAUACCCUUCAGAAAUGGAAAUGGCAGAAGUUUUUUGCAAUCCCGAGGCUGCUUCAUCAGUGCCAUGGGACAAUAACAGUAGAAAUAUGCAAGAAUCACACUAGGCUUGGGCAACAAAGCUUCAAGCUUUAACCCAAGCUGUGUGUGUGAUUCUUGCAUAUUCCUCCUGUCUUUUUCUCAUGGCACUCAUGAAUCAUCUUUAAUUAACGAUUGCAAAAGAGAUUCUGCCAACAAUGUUCCCAUUUUUGGAGAGCGUUUUGAUACGUUAGAAUAUGCAGGAUGAUAAUGUGUGAAAUAUUUAGAUUAUAAACAUUUAGAAUGCUUUUUAGAGUAUUCAAAAUCAUUACAUUAGUGUUUAUUACCAUCUACAAAAAAUGACCUACAAUGAAAGUGUCAUGUUUUAGUGAUUUGCUGGAGUAACAUCCAUGCAUAAAGAUUGUGGCAUAGGCUAUGUACAUAGAGUACAGAAGAUGAUUUAUGCCACCAUUUUACAUCACAUAGCCAAUUUGCACAUGAAAGCAUUAAAUAAUAAAUAACUCAUGUUGCAGUAGUGAAACUUGGCAGCCAUAGAAGUACUCUUUAAAAGCAAAUGAUGCACUAAGUAAUCCAUGAGAGUUUAGUGCUUUUUGUGGAUGCAAUAACAAACACAAAUUGAACUUUUGCCACUAAAUGAAAGGAAGGAAGGUUGUGAGUAGGAUCACAUACAUGAUUCUGCAAGUAUUAAUAUUUUACAGAUUGUAUUAUUAGUUAUUUUUAUGACAUUUGUAAUAAAAAAUUAAGAUGUCUGAAAAUGGUGAAAAAGAUAUUUUUGUAAAAACUAGUUAAUGCCCACACUGAUAACUCUAAAAGGCAUUCCUGUCUAUAAAAGAAAUGCAGUUAAAGAAAUUUUUAUUAAUUUUUGGGUAAACACUUAAAUUUUGGCAACUUUUUUAGAUUUAAAAGAUUUUGAAUAAUAUCCACCAAGCAAUUGAAGACUAACACUAGCUUUGGAAUGUGGAUCUACAGUAAAACUGUUCUUGAUUCAUUUUCAGGCUUCAUGAUGGCAACUAUUACAUAGCAUAGUGUUUGGUCAAAUGAAUACUAAAGUUACUUAAUUUUCUCAGGCUGAAGACAAAUCAUAACACUCACCUACAUACAAAUAUUUUAGAAGAUAUCAGAGCUAUAGGCAUUAAUUCCAAUACAACUUGAGAAUGGUAAUUACAUCUCAAAGAAGAGUAUGCUAAGGAAGCUAGUUUAAAGCAUUGAAACACAAGUACCCCGGUAACAGAGCUGUGAGAUCGUUCACUUUAAUUUAUGAUACAAAAUUACGGACAUAAUGAAUAUCUAUCUUGUUUGAGUGUCAGUUUCCUAAAUACAGUUGACCAAUAUCUCUCAAACAUUCAGUGUUCCCAGUGCUCAAACAGACUUGCAUUAUUAUUAUUAAUGCCCGAGUCAAAACGCUGUUCUUAAUAUUACUUUAUAUUACUCUAUUUUGGCGAUUCUCUUGAAACAAGAUUAUGCUUUUUACAUACAUACAGCUGCUGCCUCUGCCUCCACCUAUCUCCUGCCCCCCGUGGAGAAGGGGGAGAGAGGAUCUGGUAGUGACCAGAGAAGAGGCAGGGCCAGGAGCUAUGACUCAACUCCUGCAACCACAAAUAUGUAAGCAAGUACAUACAUACAUAUAUACAUGCAUGUAUGCAUACAUACAUGCUGGUCAUAAUACUGAAAAUGCACAAACAUCUCUAGCACAUUUAUAUUUUAAGGUAGAGUCUGUCAGAUAAGCUGAAUUUCCUUAAGAUAUUUUCAUAA